AUUGAACGCUGGCGGCAGGCCUAACACAUGCAAGUCGAGCGGAUGAGAGGAGCUUGCUUCUCGAUUCAGCGGCGGACGGGUGAGUAAUGCCUAGGAAUCUGCCUGGUAGUGGGGGACAACGUUUCGAAAGGAACGCUAAUACCGCAUACGUCCUACGGGAGAAAGCAGGGGACCCUCGGGCCUUGCGCUAUCAGAUGAGCCUAGGUCGGGUUAGCUAGUUGGUGAGGUAAUGGCUCACCAAGGCGACGAUCCGUAACUGGUCUGAGAGGAUGAUCAGUCACACUGGAACUGAGACACGGUCCAGACUCCUACGGGAGGCAGCAGUGGGGAAUAUUGGACAAUGGGCGAAAGCCUGAUCCAGCCAUGCCGCGUGUGUGAAGAAGGUCUUCGGAUUGUAAAGCACUUUAAGUUGGGAGGAAGGGUUGUAGAUUAAUACUCUGCAAUUUUGACGUUACCGACAGAAUAAGCACCGGCUAACUCUGUGCCAGCCGCCGCAGUAAAAC
rnacentral:rRNA from 1 species